CUCCCCGCGGUGGGGCCGGGCACUGCCCCACCGCACACCCGGCGCCGCAGUGGCUCCUGACCUGGAGAGACCCCCAGCCCCGCAGCCUCCAGUCGGUCUCCUGCGCCCGCCCCCUCGAGACCUGGAAUUGUGGCCACGUUCACCGCCCUGUCUCCAGAUUCACCUGGUCACUCCUCAGACCAAGACAGAGUCUGCGAAGCUUUCAGAAUAAACAACAGUUUCAACUAUAACCAUUAUCACUACCCACUGCUCAUCCUGCCUCCGCUGCCAACUUGUUCAUCACGUCAUCAGUAAGGCAUAACCUGUCUCCUGUAGAGGACACACAGCAUGCCCAUGGACCAGCCACCAGAAUUCCGACAACCCCACCAUAUGAUGGAAAGGUGCAAAAAGUACAGCUGGUGUCCCUCUGGCCACUGGGAGGAAAGAAAGAGGGCCAGCUCCUUCACACAUAAUCCAAUUGGAGAGAGUAUGGAAGUGGUUAUCUGUCUAAGUGGUUCUCAGUCUUUCUCCCCUGAGAUAGAGUGUGGGACUGAAACAGCAGUGAAUCACUGAUGUAGAAGAUACAAGAGCUGCAGUGGUGGUAGGAGCUCUCCAAAGCAGCUGAGAAAGUAUGGGGUGUGUGUGUGUGUGUGUGUGUGUGUGUGUGUGUGUAACCCUGAACCAAAUGUCCUUGGCCCAUGGACAGAGAUUGCCAACCCUUGAUCUAAUACGUUGUUGUACUUUUGUCUUUUAAGGUUUUCAAACACCAGGGCACCUGGGUGGCUCAGUUAGUUGGGUGUCCGACUUCGGCUGAGGUCAUGAUCUCACGGUUCUGGAGUUCGAACACCAUG